UUAUAUAUCAUAUAUAUGAUACUUGCUCAUGAAGGAGGUUUUCCCAGGGUGAGGCUCAUCCAUUGUACUCCGGGUGUGCUGACCCCUGCAAUUUCCCCAAAUGCAGGAAACUCAACUGCAUAAUUUGUGGUAUAUGAUACUUGUUUAAUUCUCUG
rnacentral:snRNA from 1 species